rnacentral:ncRNA from 2 species
GCAAUCCUUCGGGGCAGGGUGCAAUUCCCGACCGACGGUGAUACGAAGAUGGCGAUAUUCUGCUGCUUCGUUCAGUCCGUGACCCGGGCCAAUCCGACUUGUAAAUAGUCAAGUUAAGAAUGGAACGGUGGAGCCGGUGCAAAUCCGGGACCGACAGUAAAAGUCUGGAUGGGAGAAGGAAACG